AAUACAGAGAAGCCUGAAAACACCGGGAAUGGAAACGCAAAAAAGAAAAGGAGCAGGAGAGGAACACGAGGCAAAGGAAGGAAGAUCAAUUACAAAAAGUUCCAGGACAAUAAAGCAGGACGAUCUGCAGCUGAGGCCGUAGAAAGACCACCAGAAGAUGCAGAAACAGAGAACAGCACACCUCUGGAUGAAGUAAAGGCAAAGAAGAAGGUCAGGAGAGGAACACGAGGAAGAGGGAGAAAAAUCAACUACAAGAAAGUUGAGGACAAAGAAGCUGAACAGAAUGGAGGGAGGAAAGAGCUGACUGACGCCAAAGCAUCAAGAGACCAGCGUGAACGUCAGACAGAAAGAAAGCCUCAGACACACACACGUGUGUGGACACGCCGUGACCGAGCCUGUGAGUCAGGGUGGAGAGGACCUGCUCACUGCGACCAGAGAGACAGGAGAGUCCCGAGAAGAUCAGCUCAAGAGACGCCAUCACAAGCUGGAGCCUGAUCAAUUAAACACACACACACACACACACCAAGCCCCCAUCCUCUCCUUAAGCCUAACCCUACCACCCCCCUAUUCCCCAAUCCCCAAAUAAUUAUUAACAUUAUUUUUAAAAAAUGAAUAAAAACCCUUUAUACUUUACACUUUACUUUUGUCUGCUUUCUAUGAGCAGUAAUUAUUUCUGCACAUGCACUGAGUAGUCUAAUAGGCAAGUGUCCAGUUUUAAGCUGAUAUUCCAUGUGUGCAGCUUCACUGUAGACUGUGUGCUGGGUGACUGAGGUCUCAGACGAUUCUGUGAGCUUUUCUCAGGCACCUUAACCGCUACAUGUGCUGUGUGUUUGGGAUUUUGUAGC